rnacentral:rRNA from 1 species
CAGCCGCCGCGGGAAUACGAAGGUCACGAGCGUUGUUCGGAAUCACUGGGCGUAAAGGGAGCGUAGGCGGCGUGGUAAGUCAGAUGUGAAAUCCCGGGGCUCAACCCCGGAACUGCAUCCGAUACUGCCGUGCUAGAGGAUUGGAGAGGUAGCUGGAAUUCUUGGUGUAGCAGUGAAAUGCGUGGAGAUCAAGAGGAACACUCGUGGCGAAAGCGAGCUACUGGACGAUAUCUGACGCUGAGGCUCGAAGGCCAGGGUAGCGAAAGGGAUUAGAUACCCGCGUAGUCCCUGUCUCUUAUAC